AAACUUAGGUUAAUGAAACCAAUUAAAUUUCAAAUUUAAUAAUGAGAAAAUCAGUUUUUAGAUCACUAAAAACAAAAUAUUUUUCUUUUUGCAUUAUGAGGUUUUAAAAAUCUAUAUUAAAAUAUGGCUCUAAGUUUUCAUUUUUUAGCUACUGGUUACACCCGUUUUAAAGGGCCAAAAAAAAUAGCUUAAAACAGGAUAUCUGGUACUGAAAAUUUGUAGUUGUGGUUUAUCUAAUUCAUUUUGAAGAAAAGAUUUUCUAAAUAUCAAGAAGGGAUUAGCUUUCUUGAAGUAAAGCCUAAAAACACUAUGACUAUCAGAAUGUAACAAUUCCAGGUUGAACUAAAUUUAUAUGUAUUAAUCACGCUCUAACUAUAUCAAAAAAUUAAAUCUUUAGUAAAAAUUUAGUAAACCUUUAUACUAGAACACUUUUAGCUGUUUAUAGAAAUUAAAAUAAUCAUGGAACUUGGUUUAGGUUAAUCUGUUUGCCAAAUACUUAGGGGAAUAAUUCCUGAAGCUCUGCCCGGUGAUAAAGAUUUAACGGCUUGACAAGGUAGCAAAAUCAAUUGUUCUUUAAUUGAGAACCAGAAUGAACGGUUUCAUUAAUCUAAAAUUUCAGAUUUAUUUCUCUUAAAUUAGUAUUCUGAGUGCAAAUACUCAGACUAAAUUCAGGGACGAGAAGACCCUAAAAUCUUAUGAACUUAUUUAGGUUGUUGUAGAGGCUUAAUUGGUUGGGGCAACCUAAAAAAUGUAAAUACUUUUUGAAGAUUAAACUUGAACUCAGUUACUUAUUACCAAGAUACUUUAGGGAUAACAGCAUUAAGGGCCUUGGAGCUCGUAUCUAUUGUGCCUGAAUGACCUCGAUGUUGAAUUAAGAAACCUCCUAGGAGAAAAAGCUUGGGAGUUCAGUCUGUUCGACUGAUAUUUUCUUACAUGAUUUGAGUUAAGAUCGACGUAAGUCAGAUUGGUUUCUAUCUUGAAUUUAUACAAGUUUUAAUUAGUACGAAAGGAAUUUAAAAA
rnacentral:rRNA from 1 species